AUUUAUUUAUUUAAUAUUAGAGAUAUACUAGAAUCACACGUGAAAAAAGUCAAAUUUAGUUUAUGUGAAAUUACAUUACUGUCCAUGAUUUUAUUUUGUGAUAAAAGAUUAAAUUGUCUUCUAACCACGCGGUUGAUAUGAUCACUCUCACAAAAGCAUGAGAUUAUUUAUGUUUUGGUCUCAACAACUAUACUGGUUUCACAAGGUGUUAGAGCUACUAUACUCAGAAAUCGGCACCAGAUAUUGAAAAAAGCAUGUAACUCAAGCGGUUUCACAUGCACUCGAAAUCUUGUACUCGAAUCACCUCCCAAUAGUACUUGUAUUAAAAGAAUACAAAGGCAUAUAACCCAAGUAGUAAUUAUACACAUCUUGUAUUUUAUUAACUAUGAAGAAAAAUUACUAAAAUGUGCUUUAUUGCAUGUUGAAUGUCCCUUGUUGAUGAGAGUUUUUAUUUUGAUUGAAGUUAAAUAUGAACGCAACUAAAAACUUAUAAAAAAGCAAAACAAAGGUAUUUUAGAAUACCUUAUACUUUCACACUGGUAAUUUCUCGCAGACAUCGUUAGCCUGAACCCUAAACUUUAAACUAGGGGUGGGUUCAAAAACCGAAAACCGAAAAAAACCGAAAACCAAACCGAACCGAAACCGAAAAAACCGAACCGAACAAAAAAACCGAACCGAAUUGAAAAAACCGAACCGAACCGAAUUCUUUUGGUUCGGUUCGGUUUUAGUGAUCUAGAAACCGAACCAAACCGAACCGAACCGAAUUAAUUAAAUUAAUUUUUUUAUUUAAUUAUUUGUUUUGGAUAUUAUUUUCUAAACCCAAUUUGUAAGUUAAAAUAUGCUAAACCCAAUGUGUUGCCAAACUUUAAGCUCAAAAUAUUAAAAAAAAGUCCUAUAAAAACUUUAAACCCUAACCUAUUAUUUAUCCCCCAUAUAAGGUUCCGGAGCCAAACCUCAUCCUGAAGUACCUACAUCCAUCUCCAUAGCACUGUCUACUUUUGUCUCAGCUUUCUUUUCCAAAUCUACUCUCAUAUAACAUGUAACAGAAUCUAUAAACAUUUAUUUCGGGUAGAUUACUUAGGGAAUUUGUGAUGGAAAAGAAUCCAACACACACUAAAUAAAUCCACCCACGCAUUUCUUUUACUAAUCAAGUUGUCAACAUGCAGUUACAAGCAAACAACCCUGAUCUUUGAACAACAUCAUACAAUUUAAUUUUUCUAAGUCAUUUGUACGAUUUUUGUGUUGUGAUGUUGUUAGUUUGGACUUUGGAAGACUUGAUUGAUGAUUUUAGUUCAACUUUAAAUGUUUAUUUUCAUUGUCUUUGAUUAUAGUUAGAAUGCUUGUGUUAUGAUUGUGUUGGAUACGUUAAAAUUUAAAAUUUCAAUGUUUUUCAUUUUUUGAAAGAAAAAAAAAAAAAAAAACCAAAACCGAACCGAAAAAAACCGAACCGAAAAAAAACCGAACCGAAAAAAACCGAAAAAAAAAUGAACCGAACCGAACCGAACCGAAAUUUCGGUUUGGUUUCGGUUUUGGCAAAAAACCGAACCGAAUUAAACCGAACCCACCCCUACUUUAAACCCUACGAUCGAUCUUUAGUCUAUCUGCCAGUUUCGAUCCCAAGACCUAUUGGAUUCAAACAUCACUCACAUCCAACAGCGUACAAGGGAACCAGCCAGGUUAGCUCAAAAAUUAUAUAUUUAAAGGGGAACCACAUUUCUAAGGGCGAACUCCUUUUUAUUCUGAAACUCCAUUCACUUUUGUCUGAGUUGAUCCUAGCAAAUGGAUGUUUUUUUGUCACACUCAUUAUUUUAACAGAUCGUGUCGUGUCAAACUCAUUAUCUUAACGGGUUCUUAAUAGUUGACCCAAGAACGAUCAAACUCGAUAGUAGAUCGACUCAGAACUUGUUACUUUUGUGUCGUUUCGUGUUGGCUUAAAUACUCAUGUAAGAAAUUGUCAUGCCUUAUGUCUAGACUUGGCAAAUGGGUUGUGUUAGUGUCAUUUAUGUUGACAGGUGAUCUAAUAAUAACUCGAAACUUGUAAGAAAUUGUCAUGCUUUAUCUUGACAGGUGAUCUAAUAAUAACUCGAAACUUGUUAUAUUCCACCACCAUUAACACCUCUAUUCUCACCACCACUACUACUCCAACCACCAUUGCUAUUCACACCAUUCUUGUCUCAACCACCAUCGUCACCAUUAUUACCAAACAGAAAUAAGCUUCCAAUCUCCAUAACUCACUCAACUUAUUAGACUGUGCAAUCAAGAUUUUGUUUCAGUUCAGAUAAUCAUCUCAAACAACCACGUAGAUGUGUCGUGAUCUGAAUUUUUGAGAUUCAAUUUCAUUAGGAAGAGAUGCCACCGAAGAUUUUGAAGAUGCCGAGCACAGCAAAACUGCGAGGGAGGAAAUGAAAGCCUUCUGCAUUGGAGAGCUUGACACCACUUCCUUAGAUAUUCCAGAGCUUGAGAUUUUCUCCAAGAAUCAGCCAACCGAUUAUCCAAAGAAGCUCGUGGACUUGACAAAGCGAUACUGGGCUAUUCCUACGGCCGUUGUUGGCAUCUUCGUGGUUGUCGCCGUCUUGCCCUUGCACAAGAAGUAACCAUCGGAUAAAAUUUGCCCUUGUUAUACAACUCAAAGGGAGAGUUCUUCACAAUUUUGAAUAAUUAGGAGAAAACAACAACCGAGAGAACUGCCCCAUUUUUAUCUAGAUUUUCAUGAUUAUAUUAUUAUUACAAAUUAUAUGGAGAUUGUAUGUCAUUGAAAUUAGGGGAAAUCCAUGGCUUCUGUGUUAGUGAGUCCCCAUUGUUGAAAGAUGGAAAUUACACUAAAAUGUGCUUUAUUGAAUGUUUAGUGUCCUUUUUUAGUGAUAAGAGCUUUUACUUUGAUUGAAGUUAAAACUUGGCACUAUUUUUUUAGCAAAGUUGUCGAAUAAUACACGUACGUAUUUGAUUGAAGUUGAAAACACUAAACCAUUUAGCAAAGUUGCCAACUAAAGUAAAUUGUAAAAUAAUACACGUACAUUUGAUCGAGGUUUUUUUUUUUUCUAACACAAUAAUAUAUUUACAAUAAAAGGUGAGGAAUAAAUUAGUUUUGAACUUGUCAUUCACUUUUAUAAAAAAAAUGAAAAUUAAAUUGUAGGGCCUAAACGACAUCGAACUUCAACGAUCUAAAUUCUAACGUCCUGAUGUUUAAAAAGCAAAACAAAGGUAUUAUAGAAUACCUUAUAUUCUCAAAGGAAAAUGGUUCAAAGUUCAAGGGUCAAGAUCUCCUAAUUUGGUGGAAACUUUCCUUCUCAAAGCACAACAAUACACAAACAAACAACAACAACAACUUCCGCCGAGUUCGAUCCCAUGACCUAUUGGAUUCGAAAAUCGCUCAAACCCAACGACGUACAAGGGUACUGGCGGCAAAGUUCUCAAAUGUGAAUUUAUUUAUUCAGACUUUUGAUAAUGUGGAUUGAAUUUCUGAGGGCUUGGGUGGGCAUUCUGAGCAAAGUCGAACUCCCUUUGCUCGUCUGGUUCAGUUACAUGUACAACUAAACUAGC
rnacentral:lncRNA from 1 species